rnacentral:rRNA from 1 species
GAUGAACGCUGGCGGCGUGCCUAAUACAUGCAAGUCGAGCGAACGGACGAGAAGCUUGCUUUUCUGAUGUUAGCGGCGGACGGGUGAGUAACACGUGGAUAACCUACCUAUAAGACUGGGAUAACUUCGGGAAACCGGAGCUAAUACCGGAUAAUAUUUUGAACCGCAUGGUUCAAAAGUGAAAGACGGUCUUGCUGUCACUUAUAGAUGGAUCCGCGCUGCAUUAGCUAGUUGGUAAGGUAACGGCUUACCAAGGCAACGAUGCAUAGCCGACCUGAGAGGGUGAUCGGCCACACUGGAACUGAGACACGGGCCAGACUCCUAAGGGAGGCAGCAGUAGGGAAUCUUCCGCAAUGGGCGAAAGCCUGACGGAGCAACGCCGCGUGAGUGAUGAAGGUCUUCGGAUCGUAAAACUCUGUUAUUAGGGAAGAACAUAUGUGUAAGUAACUGUGCACAUCUUGACGGUACCUAAUCAGAAAGCCACGGCUAACUACGUG